GGUCGGGUAGCUCAGUUGGCAGAGCGACCGCCUGAAAAGCGGUAGGUCCGGGGAUCGACGCCCCGCCCGACCACAA
rnacentral:tRNA from 1 species